UUUUUUUUUAAUUUUCUUUUAUUCUUGUUAAUCGUCAAUCUUUUUUUUCCCCCUUUCUAUUGUUUUUUGCGAAGAAAUGAAGAAAAUUAGGGAUACAAAUGGACGUACUGUGGCUAAAAUUUCGUCCUUUCCCAUUUCCCCCAGUUUCCUUCUCUUCUGGUAUUGUUUGAUGUUGGAGGCCAAAUAGCAGAAAGCUGUUACACCUCCAAAAAGACUGCAACAUGGAUGAUGCUCUCCCAUCUUUUAUGCAUGUAAAUUCUGCUACUGCCUGAAGGAUUACUUCUUCAAAGAUCGCCUCCCUUCAUUGAAGGUCCUUGCUGUACACCUCUGAGGAUUCUUUCGCCUCCCUUCAUUGAAGAGAUUAUACAUCAUAUCUUCUAGAGGCCGGAGUCGUGCCAGCGGAGGACAGAGCUCUCGAGGAGAGAGUUAUCAUGCAGCCAGCUCGCAAGAUUCUGCACCUCUCACAUCCUGCGAUGUUUUGCGCUCAGGUUCGGAUGACAGGGGGUCACCAGUGACCCCACAGUCACACGCACCAGCGACCGGCUCUUAGAUGCAGAAGCAUGGUAGAGGACUCGCCCGGCUCGUGGCACCUUUGACUCGGCCUGAGGAUAAAGAGCUCAUCCACAUUCAGAGCCGAUCCACAUUUACAGAGAGCUCCAUACCUUGUGUGAUUACUGGGAUCAUCUGACGAUUGAUGCUGGGGCUGAUGAACAAGUUCUCCAAUUGGCCGUCGGGGGCUCGUAAUGCAGUCUGGAAAAUGUUUCUGAUAAGUCAAAGGAGUACUACUGAUUCUUAUCUCAGGAUGAGGAGGCUGGCCGUUCGAUCUUCGAGCAGAUGACCACACGUAGGUUUUGAGAUGGGCUAUACAGUUUACGACAGUCCGUCAUCAAAUAUUUCAAUUCUCAAUCACCAUCGGAUUGAAAGUCCUACAGGAAUCACUGGAUGCGAGCGGACGUAUGAGAGGCCCUCUGCGACCAGUGAAGCGGUGAGGAGUACGCCAGGAGACGGUAGAGGGUCCAACAAAAUUGGACCACCCAGCAGGCUUCGAUCAGGCACACGGGCAGCUCCUUCGGCACACAUAUUGUGGUCGACAGAUUGAUAUGGCAGCUAGGUCAUCCACCAGGCGGAUUAUGCAGAGUAUGUUGUUGCGCGGCACGGCGAUGACCCAUCCACUCAGCCCCUUCUUGAUCUUGAGGGAUGGCUUAGGGUCAUCGGAGGGGUGAGUAGGAGUCGGGUCAUAGGAUUCGGCCACAGCUUCGACCCUCCAGCGGCUCAAUACUCUUCGAUGUUCUCAUAGGCCUUGACGUCCCAGACUUGGAGCAAUGCGCAUGUGAAGGAGGUCAUGCAGAGGCUUCUGAGCCAGCGACCUCAGAGCUUCAGAAUGCCGUCCGCGAUACAUUUGUGGAGAUUCUUCGGGAUCUGCAGCUGUGCGACUAGCUGGGCUCGUUGUCCCAGCCAUCAUAUCAGGAACAUCAAUGAACCAUCAAUGUAAGAUCAAGUGCAUUGCCAGACCAGGCCAGGAAUGUUACCCAUCAGAAGUGACGAUGACUUCAGUUUCAUGUUGGAAUCAACAUGUGCUUGCAGAAUCUGCAGUAUUAUGCGCAAUCAGUUUUUGAGUUUAAUCAUCCACUAGGUUUCUCACCCUUAUGUUUAUGUUGGCCAUCUAAACUCACCAGCCGCUUCAGCAUGUCUCACCAAGUCUUUCGUAUAAUGCAAUAUAAAAUUAAUAAUUGUUCUCUCUAGUGAUUCAUUGCUUUGAUGUACAAACAAAAAAAGAUUAACGUUUUGUUAGACUUACC